AAGUGUCAAAAAAUGUCAUAGUAUAGUAAGGUGUCAAAAUCAGUCAAAAAAUGUCAUAGUAUAGUAAGGUGUCAAAAAGUGUCAAAAAAAUUCAUAGUAUAGUAAGGCGUCAAAAAGUGUCAAAAAAUGUCAUAGUAUGUUAAGGUGUCAAAAAGGCUCAAAAAAUGUCAUAGUAUAGUAAGGUGUCAAAAAGUGUCAAAAAAUGUCAUAGUAUAGUAAGGUGUCAAAAAGUGUCAAAAAAAUUCAUAGUAUAGUAAAGCGUCAAAAAGUGUCAAAAAAUGUCAUAGUAUAGUAUGGCAUCAAAAAGUGUCAAAAAAUGUCAUAGUAUGUUAAGGUGUCAAAAAGUGUCAAAAAAUGUCAUAGUAUAGUAUGGCAUCAAAAAGUGUCAAAAAAUGUCAUAGUAUGUUAAGGUGUCAAAAAGGCUCAAAAAAUGUUGUAGUAUAGUAAGGUGUCAAAAAGUGUCAAAAAAUGUCAUAGUAUAGUAUGGCAUCAAAAAGUGUCAAAAAAUGUCAUAGUAUAGUAAGGUGUCAAAAAGUGUCAAAAAAUGUCAUAGUAUGUUAAGGUGUCAAAAAGUGUCAAAAAAUGUCAUAGUAUGUUAAGGUGUCAAAAAGGCUCAAAAAAUGUAGUAUAGUAAGGUGUCAAAAAGUGUCAAAAAAUGUCAUAGUAUAGUAAGGCGUCCAAAAGUGUCAAAAAAUGUCAUAGUAUAGUAAGGCGUCAAAAAGUGUCAAAAAAUGUCAUAGUAUAGUAAGGUGUCAAAAUCAGUCAAAAAAUGUCAUAGUAUAGUAAGGUGUCAAAAAGUGUCAAAAAAAUUCAUAGUAUAGUAAGGCGUCAAAAAGUGUCAAAAAAUGUCAUAGUAUGUUAAGGUGUCAAAAAGGCUCAAAAAAUGUCAUAGUAUAGUAAGGUGUCAAAAAGUGUCAAAAAAUGUCAUAGUAUAGUAAGGUGUCAAAAAGUGUCAAAAAAAUUCAUAGUAUAGUAAAGCGUCAAAAAGUGUCAAAAAAUGUCAUUAGUAUAGUAUGGCAUCAAAAAGUGUCAAAAAAUGUCAUAGAAUAGUAAGGUGUCAAAAAGUGUCAAAAAAAUUCAUAGUAUAGUAAGGUGUCAAAAAGUGUCAAAAAAUGUCAUAGUAUAGUAAAGCGUCAAAAAGUGUCAAAAAAUGUCAUAGUAUAGUAUGGCAUCAAAAAGUGUCAAAAAAUGUCAUAGUAUAGUAAGGCGUCAAAAAGUGUCAAAAAAUGUCAUAGUAUAGUAAGGCAUCAAAAAGUGUCAAAAAAUGUCAUAGUAUGUUAAGGUGUCAAAAAGGCUCAAAAAAUGUAGUAUAGUAAGGUGUCAAAAAGUGUCAAAAAAUGUCAUAGUAUAGUAAGGUGUCAAAAAGUGUCAAAAAAUGUCAUAGUAUAGUAAGGCGUCAAAAUCAGUCAAAAAAUGUCAUAGUAUAGUAUGGCAUCAAAAAGUGUCAAAAAAUGUCAUAGUAUAGUAAGGUGUCAAAAUCAGUCAAAAAAUGUCAUAGAAUAGUAAGGUGUCAAAAAGUGUCAAAAAAAUUCAUAGUAUAGUAAGGCGUCCAAAAGUGUCAAAAAAUGUCAUAGUAUAGUAAGGCGUCAAAAAGUGUCAAAAAAUGUCAUAGUAUAGUAAGGUGUCUAAAUCAGUCUAAAAAUGUCAAAAAGUCAAAAAAACCUACCUCUCAUGUUACACCAAGAGUAGCAUCUCCUCAACAACGCUGGAGCCACACAGCCGGACCAACUACAGUUUAGUGGACCAGGACAGCAACAACAGGACAAAUUAAUGCACCAGAGGGCAUUUUCUUUUUCCCAUGGACUUACUAACAUAACUGGACUUUGUUUACCUUACCUUGUAUAUCACAACUUGUCUCAGUGUAGGGUGCAACUUUCUUAAGAUGUGUUGUUGAGUUUGUUUACAGUCAGGUUACUGACUUAUCUUAGCAUGUUCACACUCCACCUUUGACCGACUGGUUCUGACUUUGACCUUAAAUGAACUCUCCUUUGUUAACCUCCCCCACAUGCCAGGAAGUCAGUCCUAGAGGCCAUUUUCUGACUCAGCCAUCUUGGUUAUAAAUCCUUUGUUGUAAUCCAUGUGGCUUAAAGCAACCAUCUUACCUUUGUUUUUCACAGACGCACAUACUUGCACACACCUCUACACAGUGUUGUAGGUUAGGUUAGAUUUUGUGCUUGUUAUUUCAUUUUGGUAUUUGUUCAAAUAAAUACUUCUGAACACUGAAUGUUUUGCUGGUCUGUUUAAUAUUUUAUGAAAAUUAUUAUUGCCAAUU